ACAUAUUUCUAAUCUAUGAAUGUGCCUGAUCCCAUCUGAUCUCAGAAGCUCUGCAGGGUCGGGCCUAGUUAGUGUGUGGAUGCGAGACGUAGUACCACAUGGGAAUACCAAGUGCUAUAGGCU
rnacentral:rRNA from 1 species